CACAGUGUGGCCUAGUGGUUUGAGCCCUGGGCUAGGACACUGGGAAACCAGGGUUCGAAUCCCAGCUCAGCCA